rnacentral:rRNA from 1 species
GAUGAACGCUGGCGGCGCGCUUAAUACAUGCAAGUCGAACGGUGAACGAGGGAGCUUGCUCCUUCCGGAUCAGUGGCGAACGGGUGAGUAACACGUGAGCAAUCUGCCCCGAACUCUGGGAUAAGCGCUGGAAACGGCGUCUAAUACCGGAUGUCCUCACCGAGUCGCAUGGCUUGGUGAAGAAAUGGAUUCCGCUCCGGGAGAGCCUCGCGGCCUAUCAGCUUGGUGGCGGGGUAACGGCCCACCAAGGCGUCGACGGGUAGCUGGUCUGAGAGGACGAUCAGCCACACUGGGACUGAGACACGGCCCAGACUCCUACGGGAGGCAGCAGUGGGGAAUCUUGCGCAAUGGGCGAAAGCCUGACGCAGCAGAGCCGCGUGCGGGAUGAAGGCCCUCGGGUUGUAAACCGCUUUCAGUGGGGACGAACCAAGACGGUACCCACAGAAGAAGCCCCGGCCAACUACGUGCCAGCCGCCGCAGUAAUAC